AUUGAACGCUGGCGGCAGGCCUAACACAUGCAAGUCGAGCGGCAGCGGGAAAGUAGCUUGCUACUUUUGCCGGCGAGCGGCGGACGGGUGAGUAAUGCCUGGGAUCUGCCCAGUCGAGGGGGAUAACUACUGGAAACGGUAGCUAAUACCGCAUACGCCCUACGGGGGAAAGCAGGGGACCUUCGGGCCUUGCGCGAUUGGAUGAACCCAGGUGGGAUUAGCUAGUUGGUGAGGUAAUGGCUCACCAAGGCGACGAUCCCUAGCUGGUCUGAGAGGAUGAUCAGCCACACUGGAACUGAGACACGGUCCAGACUCCUACGGGAGGCAGCAGUGGGGAAUAUUGCACAAUGGGGGAAACCCUGAUGCAGCCAUGCCGCGUGUGUGAAGAAGGCCUUCGGGUUGUAAAGCACUUUCAGCGAGGAGGAAAGGUCAGUAGCUAAUAUCUGCUGGCUGUGACGUUACUCGCAGAAGAAGCGCCGGCUAACUCCGUGCCAGCAGCCGCAGUAACAC
rnacentral:rRNA from 1 species